rnacentral:piRNA from 1 species
UGGUUUAGAGCUAGACAUGGUAUGAGGUA